CAUGGGGCGAAAAAUUAUAAAAUGACCCGUGAACCAGUUAGGGUACAUCAUCUGGGUGUUCAUAUGCCAAGAAUCACUGGCCGCGGAUUUAGCUUUUGUUAGAUAGCAGGUGCCCGCGAUACCUGCCGCCAGCACUCACUUGUUGUAGUGUUAGAUCACUCUCCACACAUCACCACAAACCUCCCCUUUCGACGCCGAGAACAUCGAAAGCUCCUCCACAAUGUUCAGCUCUAUUAUACCUAUGAUUGUUGGUUUGCUUGUGAUGGUAUGCGCGUUUGCUGCGAUGAUAGUCGCCGCGGAUGAGUGUACAAGGCAAGGACAAGGGCAAAGAUAAUCCCGGAUGAUGCUAUACAACCACACCAAAACAAACCUGUACAAGAACUGCCUUUUACACACCUCCACAUGACUUUACUAACGAUGACAGCUGAGGACGAACAAGUCGCACGGACAACACGCUGGAAAAGCAUUAACUUUUUUGGCGAUUUCUUUUAUGGGUUUGGAAUUGUCAACGUUGUGGACGCAACACAAUUUUAAAACGUCAACGACGAAAGUAGUCAUCAAUGAACAAGACAAUAUACUUCCCUGACAAUAACUACCUGGCGAUUUCUCGGCGUUUAGUACAAUAAUAUUAGCGUUAGUUAGGAGAUUAAAACAAACCAUUCAAAUGUUGAAAGAGAUAUACUUUCAUUAAAAUGAUGUACGGCAAAAA